rnacentral:rRNA from 1 species
CCUACGGGAGGCAGCAGUGAGGAAUAUUGGUCAAUGGACGAGAGUCUGAACCAGCCAAGUAGCGUGAAGGAUGACUGCCCUAUGGGUUGUAAACUUCUUUUAUAUGGGAAUAAAACAGGGUAUGCCUACCCCCUUGUAUGUACCAUAUGACUAAGGAUCGGCCAACUCCGUGCCAGCAGCCGCGGUAAUACGGAGGAUCCGAGCGUUAUCCGGAUUUAUUGGGUUUAAAGGGAGCGUAGGUGGGUUGAUAAGUCAGUUGUGAAAGUUUGCGGCUCAACCGUAAAAGUGCAGUUGAAACUGGCAGUCUUGAGUACAGUAGAGGUGGGCGGAAUUCGUGGUGUAGCGGUGAAAUGCUUAGAUAGCACGAAGAACUCCGGUUGCGAAGGCAGCUCGCUGGACUGCAACUGACACUGAGGCGCGAAAGUGUGGGUAUCAAACAGGAUUAGAUACCCCAGUAGUC